GAUGAACGCUGGCGGCGUGCCUAAUACAUGCAAGUCGAGCGAACAGACGAGGAGCUUGCUCCUCUGACGUUAGCGGCGGACGGGUGAGUAACACGUGGAUAACCUACCUAUAAGACUGGUAUAACUUCGGGAAACCGGAGCUAAUACCGUAUAAUAUAUUGAACCGCAUGGUUCAAUAGUGAAAGACGGUGUUUCUGUCACUUAUAGAUGGAUCCGCGCCGCAUUAGCUAGUUGUGAAGGUAAAGGCUUAUCAAGGCGACGAUGCGUAGCCGACCUGAGAGAGUGAUCGGCCACCCUGGAACUGAGACACGGUCCAGACUACUACGAGAGGCACCAGUAGGGAAUCUUACGCAAUGGGCGAAAGCCUGACGGAGCAACGCCGCGUGAGUGAUGAAGGUCUUCGGAUCGUAAAACUCUGUUAUUAGGGAAGAACAAAUGUGUAAGUAAAUAUGCACGUCUUGACGGUACCUAAUCAGAAAGCAACGGCUAACUACGUG
rnacentral:rRNA from 1 species